UUGAAGUUCGUUUUGCCCGCUGGUGUUUGUGCGGGCUUGUUGGUUUGGUGAUGUAUCGUGUUUGUUUUGAGUUUUCGUUGUCCAAUGUUUGUAACUAGGUUUUGGGUUUGUUUAGCGCCAGUGUUUUAGGGCAUUCACCCAUGUUUGGACCUGUUACGUUUUGAAGGACAUUAAAGCGUUUUUCUCGUUCACUUCGCUUUCUGCAUUUGACUCCUCACUCAUUCACCCGACGUUACAGGAAGUAAAAAUAAAUAAUCGUUAUUGUCCCCUUUUGAAAGUCCAUUGUCAUUAAUCAAGCAAAUCAGAAACAUACACUUCUGUAGUUAAUUGGAACCAAGAUUGAAAUCUACAAGGUACUUUUUUUUCUUUGUUACAAGUGCCUAUUCAAGAUCAACUCAGAUAAGGGGUCCAAAGUGGAGAAGUCAAGAAAGCAGCAUGCAAUCAAUCCCAAAAGUUAUUUUUCUGAUCUCAAACAUCGCAGACUAUGAAUGGAGGGAGUAGCCUUGCGCACGCACACAUACAGUUUCGCAACUGAUGCCAGUUAGAUCAAGGAUUACUGACCUUUGCCUGCCCUGAGCCUGCCGGCCGUCCUGUACCUUUGCCCAACCUAUCUGGAUUACUGACCUCUGCCUGCCCUUGACCUGCAUGCCCCUGUUAGAUUAAUAAACUGUUGUUACUUCG